UGUUACUGUACCGCAUAGCAAAGACCAGAAAGCCAGGGACAGCUCCUACUACCACCAAACAGUUGGUGUCUGGCCGAGAUGAGUUCCAGACUGAGGUCCAGCGGCCUGCGUUCAGGAGACAAAAUGGCCGCCCAUCCAUUGUCUCGACCAUGUGCGUUCGCAUGUACGAAAUGGAGGCCACCCAGUGGAGCAUUCAAUUAGUUCAUUCCGUUGUGGUUUUCGCACAGGAUACUUAACAUUCCAUGUUCUAAUGGGUCUCUGGGGUGGUC